rnacentral:rRNA from 1 species
GACGAACGCUGGCGGCGUGCUUAACACAUGCAAGUCGAACGAAGAGCGAUGGAAGCUUGCUUCUAUCAAUCUUAGUGGCGAACGGGUGAGUAACGCGUAAUCAACCUGCCCUUCAGAGGGGGACAACAGUUGGAAACGACUGCUAAUACCGCAUACGGUCUAAUCUCGGCAUCGAGGAUAGAUGAAAGGUGGCCUCUACAUGUAAGCUAUCACUGAAGGAGGGGAUUGCGUCUGAUUAGCUAGUUGGAGGGGUAACGGCCCACCAAGGCGAUGAUCAGUAGCCGGUCUGAGAGGAUGAACGGCCACAUUGGGACUGAGACACGGCCCAGACUCCUACGGGAGGCAGCAGUGGGGAAUCUUCCGCAAUGGACGAAAGUCUGACGGAGCAACGCCGCGUGAGCGAUGACGGCCUUCGGGUUGUAAAGCUCUGUUAAUCGGGACGAAAGGCCUUCUUGCGAAUAGUGAGAAGGAUUGACGGUACCGGAAUAGAAAGCCACGGCUAACUACGUG